AUCUACAGCCAUGCCACCCUGAACAAGCCCGAUGUCUGAUCUCAGAAGCUAAGCAGGAUCGAUCCUGGUUAGUACUUGGAUGGGAGACCACCUAGGAAGACCAGGUGCUGUAGGCA
rnacentral:rRNA from 1 species